AACACCCCGCACGGCGGAGCCCGGUCUGGAUCGAGGGGGGGGAUCCAUCGAGCCCGAGCUCCCAUCGCAUCACCGCGGCCCCCGCUUGCGCCAGAGCUGCCCCUGCUCGCACCGCCGCGGCCUCUGCUCGUGGCCUCCACCGCCUCCUUCGGGGCCUCUGCACAACGGAAGCGCCUCCCUCCCCCCUCUCCCCGUCCCUGCCGUUGGCCGCCUCCUCUCCGCGGCGCUCCUCCUGCCCGGCUCACCGGAGCGCCUCCCGUUCCCCCCACUCGCGGAGCACCUCGCCUCCCUCCCCACGCUCACCCUGGCCUUCGCCCUGCUCACCGCGCUCCGCCACCACCCCGUCCGCACCCCGUCCGCCCCUCGCCGCUCCCGCUCGCCACCCCGCUCCUCGGCCACCUCCUCGCGAUGCGCCGCGCCCGCGAGGCCGCUUUCGUGCUCCGCUGGCUCUGCCGCCCCGACUCCCCGCGCCGGCCCGACACCGCCACCUACGGCAUCGCCGUCGGCGGGUUCUGCAGGUUCGGGGACCCUAGGAGCGCGCUCGUCGCCCUCGGCGAGAUGGCCUCCGGCGGGGUUCCGCCCUCACUGGAGCUGCAGGAGGCGGUGCGGGAUGCGAUGCUGCAAGACGCGAGGAUCGAGGAGGCGUGGGCGCUGGAGGAGGCUAUGCAGCCGCCGGAGUCCAAGAAGACGGGAACCAAGGCGGCGCGUCAAGAGAGAGAGCUU
rnacentral:rRNA from 1 species